rnacentral:rRNA from 1 species
CAGUAGCCGCGGUAAUACGGAGGGUGCAAGCGUUAAUCGGAAUUACUGGGCGUAAAGCGCACGCAGGCGGUCUGACAAGUCAGAUGUGAAAUCCCCGGGCUUAACCUGGGAACUGCAUUUGAAACUGUCAGGCUGGAGUCUUGUAGAGGGGGGUGGAAUUCCAGGUGUAGCGGUGAAAUGCGUAGAGAUCUGGAGGAAUACCGGUGGCGAAGGCGGCCCCCUGGACAAAGACUGACGCUCAGGUGCGAAAGCGUGGGGAGCAAACAGGAUUAGAUACCCCGGUAGUCCUGUCUCUUAUACA